UGUAGCGGGGUGGUCACCCCACUCCAGCCCUGAAGGGGUUAAAAGCAGCCCUGGAGAGGGCUGCAGCAGGGAAAGGGAUAAAGAACACCUGGGGGAAGCUGACUAUGUAACUGACCACAGGUGUGGCUGGCUUAAUCAAAGCCCACUUGGCCCUUAUAAGAGAGCUGUGGGCCAGAAGCUAGAGGAGUCUCACUCUAGCUCUGGAGUGGGAAGGGCUAGCUGCUUGAGAGCAAGGUACUUGAAGUAGAGCAGUGCUGGGGAAGGGCAAAGGGAGCUCUAGCCUGGUAAACCUCUGAGGCUGCAGGCCUUGUGCAAGGCUGAUGAAAAUCCUGACCUCCCCUGGACCAUGAGUCGCUACACCCAGCCCUUCGAAGGAGCUUCAUGCCUCAAGGGAAUGUCUACCACCCCUCCCGCACCCUGCUCCUUACCCUGCCCUACCUUGUCCCUCUAAUAUCCUGGGACCAACCCAGCUACAACACUGAUAUAAAAUACACACAACCGGCUCCUUCAUGUACAGCAGAACCUGGAUUUCACCAAGCUUACAAAUGAUCAGCUGCUAUGAGUCCAGAAUCAGGACGCAUAAACCAGGCCUGGGGAAGUGGGAAUGUACAGGAAGAAAAGUGUACCAGCCUAGACAUCCAAACAUAGAAAUAGGACUUGACAUGCAGAAUAGCUACAACUGGCACUUCGCACCAGUCUUAGGACAGCGAGGAAAGCAGAAAUUGUGAAGAACGUCAUGUAAGGCAAAUCCUUCUCCUGAUCUCUCUGGGCACAGUGUGAGGUGGAGUGAGUGAAGCCAACAGAUGUGCUAAAUCCACAGCCAGGGGCUAGUGCAGCAAUUUCCAGUGGUUUGCCUGCCCAGCCGUUUGCCCCACCAAUCAUAUAUUGGAGAAGGAGGAAGAAGGUUCUCUCUCUUCUCUUUACCCCUCAUCCAGGUUUUAAUGAAAAGACUGAAAAUAGAGCAUCCCUGAAAUCAUAAUCCUGCAAAAUGAUGUGUCUGUCACUUUCCCCCACAAAAGGAGUUGAACUGGAAACAGAGGGAAAGAAAUUCAGAGACUUAAAAAAUAGCAGCACGGGAUCUUCUGGAGAUGCCCUUGGAACAGCAAAGAGUGCAGGGCAAGAAGUGAUGUGUUUUAAGGCUCAGAAUCAGGGGUAGUCAAUGGGUAGACCUGGGGCCAAAUACAGACUACCAGAUGCUUUUGAAUGGACCCCCAAAUCUUUUUAUUUACUUUUUUUUUAAUUUAUUAUUUUCUCUGGAAUCUGGACCUUGACUGGACCUUGCCCAAGAAAUCUGGACUUUGCCAAAAAUAAUUGGCUACCCCUGGCUCAGGUGCUUUUGAGGUGAACCAGACAGGUGGCAAAAUGGUAUUUGCCUUUCAGAUUGUUCUCUCUCGGUGUGGAUUUUGUGCUGGUGAAGGGAGCUGCUUUGACGGGUCCUUUGGGACUGAAUUCCCCUCACAAGCCAUGGCAGGGGCAGGGAGAAAGCAACCUUUCCCCUGUGCUGCUGCACCAGCGUUAGCAAAUAGGGGAAGUCCUAGAGUAGACACGAUGCAGCAUCUAAUCCUUCUCAGAGCGCCUGUGCACUGUCGAAAAUGAACACUUCCAGCAGUGCCGGAGUUACUCAAGGUUCUCGGGGCCUGCACCUCCUGCAGUCAUUCACAGCUGUGCAAAGCCAGUGCACUCUGACUAGAUAGCAUUUGUAAAAUCCACCUGUAAAAUGGGGCUAAGAAUUCUGACUGACUUUGCCAACUGCUGUGAGAUCUACUGAUAAGUGCUAUCUAAGAGCUUGGUAUUAUUAUUUGAUGCCUGCUCUGCACAGAUGUAAAUGAAGGCACAGGGCAACAGUGAGUCAGGCCAUCGGUGUUGUCCAAAAAGUCCUACAACUGGAUUGAGGUCAAACAACAAGCUGGCACUGGAGCUGGAGACAGAACCCAUGUCUGCUGCAGCCCGCAGUACAAGGCCGCUCGUCCUCUCUCCAUUCAAAGUGUCUUUCUGGGGGUGGGUGACUGUUGUUUGCACAAUUUGUUUGUGUUCCCCUGUCACAGGGAUGAGUUCUCUUGUCUUCAUGAAAGACCCUAAGCAGAUGGACUUGCUUAACUUCUUGCCAAUUUCUUCCCUGAUUCUGUCCUUGCACAAACAAAAUUCCCAUUGGAGACGAGGGGCUGCAGGAUCAAUCCCCUGGAUUUUUAUACACCUACACUCUUCUCCCCCCCGUCCCCCCCCCCCCCCAGUCCUUUCUCCCCGCAGUAAAAGGGCACGUGCAGAAGUCCCAACCAGUUACUGUUAUACCUAUAUAUAGAGUACAGGUAUACUCUAUAUAUAGAGUACAGGUAUCCAUCCUGCCCCCCCACUCAAAUUACAGCCAAUUCCCUCCCCUCUCUCUCACACACACACACACACACACACACCAUGGCAUGCAUUUCACCUUCCUUCUCCUCCCCCUCCCCCCCAUUUCUUGGGAGUGAAGCAAUAAUAGGGGAGAAGGAGUUACCAGACAGGCAGCCCUGUUUCAGGAGACGCUUGGUGGCUCCAACAGCUGUGCGGGGUUUGAGUCUCUUUGGCAGAUGUUUGCUUUUCCAGCCACUUCAUUAAUGUUGGAAACAAAACCCCUGAUUAUUCCUGACCAAAGCACUCCUUUUAUGAUUGACAGCCAGCGUGUGUUUCAUUCCACAUAACCCAUCUUAUUGCUCUAGCCUUUUUUCUUUUUUUUUUUUCUUUUUUUUUUUUUUUUUUUAAAUUCUCAUUAUUAACAAAGUUCGUUUGGACACUUCAGAGAACUGAUCCCAUCUGCCAAUUCAGCUCGCCCUGGGAUCUAGCAGGGGAGUUUGCGGCUCCUGGAGUGGCUGAUAAGAACCUGCUGAAGACCGAAGUGUCAGCGCCAGAUCUACCAGGAACCAGACUUUCAGAUGCAGGAGUGAAAUAAACCGGACAAUAAAGGACCCAAGUCCUUGAAUCAGCUGGGUAUAAAGAGGGACAGCUCCACUGAAAUAGAUUUCUGCUUUGCAGAUUGCCAAUUUCAUGAAAGGCUGUUUCACACCCAGCAUCUGUCCUGCACCCUAAAAUUAGCAGAUGUCAUAGAUUUCUCUGCUGUGUCUUGUCAGCUUCCCUUAAAGCUAUUUCACUCCAGCAAUGCACUCUGAAAUGCAAGGGGAAAUUGCCCGUCUCCAGCUACCAACAACAAACCCAGAACGCACAGCAAACGCAAGGAAGUAUCAUGACCCCAUUUCCUUUCAUAUAUUGUGGGGUUUUCCCGUUUCAGGAGUCAAACCCUGACUUCUUUAGGACUCUAUUUAUUUACUUAUGAUCAGCAAACGUUCGCUAUUUGUUAUGACCCUUUGAGUCAUCGUGAGCUAUUUUAUUUCCAUGAUUCGUGUUAUCUGUUUGUUUGUUUUUCGAUUUACAAACUGAGUAUUGCUAUUAUUACUAUAAAUUAAUCUGAUCUCUCGAGGUUUGGGGGGUGGUUUAGCAAUUUAAACAACAGUUCUUCAAUUUAAAAAUAAAAACAAUUUUUUUGAACUCAUCCCUUCCCCUUUUAGUGAAAUUCCUGUUGACUGGAAUCACCUUUAAUUUCCCAGCAGCAAAAAAAAUAAACUAAGUAUGUUCCAAGCAAAGUAAAUAAAAUACUAUUUAUUUUAAACAUGGAUGCGUU